rnacentral:rRNA from 1 species
UACGUAGGGGGGCUAGCGUUGUCCGGAAUCAUUGGGCGUAAAGCGCGCGUAGGCGGCCCGGUAAGUCCGCUGUAAAAGUCCAGGGCUCAACCCUGGAACGCCGGUGGAUACUGUCGGGCUAGAGUCCGGAAGAGGCGAGUGGAAUUCCUGGUGUAGCGGUGGAAUGCGCAGAUAUCAGCAGGAACACCCGUGGCGAAGGCGGCCCCCUGGGCCGUACCUGACGCUGAGGCGCGAAGGCUAGGGGAGCGAACGGG